rnacentral:tRNA from 1 species
AGAGACAUAGCUCAAUGGCAGAGCAGCCGGUUGAUAACCGGCAGAUCGUGGUUCGAUUCCGCGUGUCUCUACCA